rnacentral:rRNA from 8 species
UGGGGGACAACGUUUCGAAAGGAACGCUAAUACCGCAUACGUCCUACGGGAGAAAGCAGGGGACCUUCGGGCCUUGCGCUAUCAGAUGAGCCUAGGUCGGAUUAGCUAGUUGGUGAGGUAAUGGCUCACCAAGGCUACGAUCCGUAACUGGUCUGAGAGGAUGAUCAGUCACACUGGAACUGAGACACGGUCCAGACUCCUACGGGAGGCAGCAGUGGGGAAUAUUGGACAAUGGGCGAAAGCCUGAUCCAGCCAUGCCGCGUGUGUGAAGAAGGUCUUCGGAUUGUAAAGCACUUUAAGUUGGGAGGAAGGGCAUUAACCUAAUACGUUAGUGUUUUGACGUUACCGACAGAAUAAGCACCGGCUAACUCUGUGCCAGCAGCCGCGGUAAUACAGAGGGUGCAAGCGUUAAUCGGAAUUACUGGGCGUAAAGCGCGCGUAGGUGGUUCGUUAAGUUGGAUGUGAAAUCCCCGGGCUCAACCUGGGAACUGCAUCCAAAACUGGCGAGCUAGAGUAGGGCAGAGGGUGGUGGAAUUUCCUGUGUAGCGGUGAAAUGCGUA